rnacentral:rRNA from 1 species
CCUACGGGAGGCAGCAGUGGGGAAUAUUGCACAAUGGGGGAAACCCUGAUGCAGCGACGCCGCGUGAGUGAAGAAGUAAUUCGUUAUGUAAAGCUCUAUCAGCAGGGAAGAAAAUGACGGUACCUGAGUAAGAAGCCCCGGCUAACUACGUGCCAGCAGCCGCGGUAAUACGUAGGGGGCAAGCGUUAUCCGGAUUUACUGGGUGUAAAGGGAGCGUAGACGGCAGUGCAAGUCUGGAGUGAAAGGCGGGGGCUCAACCCCCGGACUGCUCUGGAAACUGUACGGCUGGAGUGCAGGAGAGGUAAGUGGAAUUCCUGGUGUAGCGGUGAAAUGCGUAGAUAUUAGGAGGAACACCAGUGGCGAAGGCGGCUUACUGGACUGUAACUGACGCUGAGGUUCGAAAGCGUGGGUAGCAAACAGGAUUAGAUACCCCAGUAGUC